rnacentral:rRNA from 1 species
UACCAGCACCCCGAGUGGUCGGGACGAUUAUUGGGCCUAAAGCAUCCGUAGCCGGUCCUACAAGUCUUCCGUUAAAUCCACCUGCUUAACAGAUGGGCUGCGGAAGAUACUAUGGAGCUAGGAGGCGGGAGAGGCAAGCGGUACUCGAUGGGUAGGGGUAAAAUCCGUUGAUCCAUUGAAGACCACCAGUGGCGAAGGCGGCUUGCCAGAACGCGCUCGACGGUGAGGGAUGAAAGCUGGGGGAGCAAACCGG